rnacentral:rRNA from 1 species
UACAGAGGGUGCAAGCGUUGCUCGGAAUCAUUGGGCGUAAAGGGUAGGUAGGUGGUCUCAUUUGUCUCGGGUGAAAGCCUUGGGCUUAACCCAAGAAGUGCCCGGGAAACGGUGAGACUGGAGUCCUGGAGAGGGUCGUGGAAUUCCCGGUGUAGCGGUGAAAUGCGUAGAGAUCGGGAGGAACACCAGAGGCGAAGGCGGCGACCUGGACAGGUACUGACACUCAACUACGAAAGCGUGGGGAGCAAACAGG